rnacentral:rRNA from 1 species
UACAGAGGUCUCAAGCGUUGUUCGGAUUCAUUGGGCGUAAAGCGCGUGUAGGCGGCUCGGUAAGUCUGCUGUGAAAGUCCAGGGCUCAACCCUGGGAUGCCGGUGGAUACUGUCGAGCUCGAGUCCGGAAGAGGCGAGUGGAAUUCCUGGUGUAGCGGUGAAAUGCGCAGAUAUCAGGAGGAACACCAAUGGCGAAGGCAGCUCGCUGGGACGUGACUGACGCUGAGACGCGAAGCGUGGGGAGCAAACAGG